rnacentral:rRNA from 1 species
UGGGGAAUAUUGCACAAUGGGCGCAAGCCUGAUGCAGACAUGCCGCGUGUAUGAAGAAGGCCUUCGGGUUGUAAAGUACUUUCAGCGGGGAGGAAGGGAGUAAAGUUAAUACCUUUGCUCAUUGACGUUACCCGCAGAAGAAGCACCGGCUAACUCCGUGCCAGCAGCCGCGGUAAUACGGAGGGUGCAAGCGUUAAUCGGAAUUACUGGGCGUAAAGCGCACGCAGGCGGUUUGUUAAGUCAGAUGUGAAAUCCCCGGGCUUAACCCGGGAAUUGCAUCUGAUACUGGUCAGCUAGAGUCUUGUAGAGGGGGGUAGAAUUCCAUGUGUAGCGGUGAAAUGCGUAGAGAUGUGGAGGAAUACCGGUGGCGAAGGCGGCCCCCUGGACAAAGACUGACGCUCAGGUGCGAAAGCGUGGGGAGCAAACAGG